rnacentral:rRNA from 1 species
AGUCAAGUAAUUAAGUGCAUGUGGUGGAUGCCUUGGCAGUCAGAGGCGAUGAAAGACGUGAUAGCCUGCGAAAAGCUCCGGGGAGGCGGCAAAUAUCCUUUGAUCCGGAGAUGUCUGAAUGGGGGAACCCACCUACUUUAAGGUAGGUAUUGCAACAUGAAUACAUAGUGUUGCAAGGCGAACGAGGGGAAGUGAAACAUCUCAGUACCCUUAGGAAAAGAAAUCAAUUGAGAUUCCCUCAGUAGCGGCGAGCGAACGGGGAUCAGCCCAUUAAGUUAUGUGUGUUUUAGUGGAACGCUCUGGGAAGUGCGAACGUAGAGGGUGAUAUUCCCGUACACGAAAGGGCACACAUAAUGAUGACGAGUAGGGCGAGGCACGUGAAACCUUGUCUGAAUAUGGGGGGACCAUCCUCCAAGGCUAAAUACUCCUGACUGACCGAUAGUGAACCAGUACCGUGAGGGAAAGGCGAAAAGAACCCCUGUGAGGGGAGUGAAAUAGAUCCUGAAACCGCAUGCAUACAAGCAGUGGGAGCACCUUCGUGGUGUGACUGCGUACCUUUUGUAUAAUGGGUCAGCGACUUAUAUUCAGUAGCGAGGUUAACCGUAUAGGGGAGCCGUAGAGAAAUCGAGUCUUAAUAGGGCGUUUAGUUGCUGGGUAUAGACCCGAAACCAGGCGAUCUAUCCAUGAGCAGGUUGAAGGUUGGGUAACACUAACUGGAGGACCGAACCCACUGUCGUUGAAAAGCCAGGGGAUGACUUGUGGAUAGGGGUGAAAGGCUAAUCAAGCCUGGUGAUAGCUGGUUCUCCCCGAAAGCUAUUUAGGUAGCGCCUCGGACGAAUACCAUAGGGGGUAGAGCACUGUUUCGGCUAGGGGGUCAUCCCGACUUACCAAACCGAUGCAAACUCCGAAUACCUAUGAGUACUAUCCGGGAGACAGACUGCGGGUGCUAACGUCCGUAGUCAAGAGGAAAACAAUCCAGACCGCCAGCUAAGGCCCCAAAAUCAUAGUUAAGUGGGAAACGAUGUGGGAAGGCAUAGACAGCUAGGAGGUUGGCUUAGAAGCAGCCACCCUUUAAAGAAAGCGUAAUAGCUCACUAGUCGAGUCGGCCUGCGCGGAAGAUGUAACGGGGCUAAAACUAUGUGCCGAAGCUGCGGAUGUAUACUUUGUAUACGUGGUAGGGGAGCGUUCUGUAAGCCGAUGAAGGUGUGUUGAGAAGCAUGCUGGAGGUAUCAGAAGUGCGAAUGCUGACGUGAGUAACGACAAAACGGGUGAAAAACCCGUUCGCCGAAAGACCAAGGGUUCCAGUCCAACGUUAAUCGGGGCUGGGUGAGUCGACCCCUAAGGCGAGGCCGAAAGGCGUAGUCGAUGGGAAAAUGGUUAAUAUUCCAUUACUUCUGUGUAAUGCGAUGAGAGGACGGAGAAGGCUAAAUCAGCCUGGCGUUGGUUGUCCAGGUGAAAGGAUGUAGGCAUGUAUCUUAGGCAAAUCCGGGGUACUCUAUGCUGAGAUCUGAUAGCAAGCUGUACUUGUACAGCGAAGUGGUUGAUGCCAUGCUUCCAGGAAAAGUCUCUAAGCUUCAGUUACACAGGAAUCGUACCCGAAACCGACACAGGUGGUCAGGUCGAGUAGACCAAGGCGCUUGAGAGAACUCUGCUGAAGGAACUAGGCAAAAUGGUACCGUAACUUCGGGAGAAGGUACGCUGUUGUUGGUGAUGGAACUCGCUUCCUGAGCUGACGACAGCCGCAGAAACCAGGCCGCUGCAACUGUUUAUUAAAAACAUAGCACUCUGCAAACACGAAAGUGGACGUAUAGGGUGUGAUGCCUGCCCGGUGCUGGAAGGUUAAUUGAUGGGGUUAGCGUAAGCGAAGCUCUUGAUCGAAGCCCCAGUAAACGGCGGCCGUAACUAUAACGGUCCUAAGGUAGCGAAAUUCCUUGUCGGGUAAGUUCCGACCUGCACGAAUGGCAUAAUGAUGGCGGCGCUGUCUCCAGCAGAGGCUCAGUGAAAUCGAAAUCGCUGUGAAGAUGCAGUGUACCCGCGGCUAGACGGAAAGACCCCGUGAACCUUUACUGCAGCUUGACACUGAACUUUGACCUUACUUGUGUAGGAUAGGUGGGAGGCUUUGAAGCUGGAACGCUAGUUCCAGUGGAGCCGUCCUUGAAAUACCACCCUGGUAAUGUUGAGGUUCUAACUCUGUCCCGUGAUCCGGGACGAGGACCGUGUCUGGUGGGUAGUUUGACUGGGGCGGUCUCCUCCUAAAGAGUAACGGAGGAGUACGAAGGUGCGCUCAGCGUGGUCGGAAAUCACGCGUAGAGUAUAAAGGCAAAAGCGCGCUUAACUGCGAGACCCACAAGUCGAGCAGGUACGAAAGUAGGUCUUAGUGAUCCGGUGGUUCUGUAUGGAAGGGCCAUCGCUCAACGGAUAAAAGGUACUCUGGGGAUAACAGGCUGAUACCGCCCAAGAGUUCAUAUCGACGGCGGUGUUUGGCACCUCGAUG